CAGAGUAUGGAGUGCAGUAGGAGGGAAGAAACGAAGAUGUCUGAACAAGGGUCUUUCCCAAGCUUUCCCUCUUUUGACUACAACUGAUGUUUGCAGUGUGUUCUACAACGUUCUCAUGUUUCAGGAGUAGAAAACAGCAACUUGACAAGUCUAUUUGCUACCCUCACCAGGAGUAAGGCUGCUGCUGCCACCUGUCACCAUGCAAUGCUCUUCCAAUACCACCGACGGUAUUCCUUCUUCCUUCUGCUGUACCUUUUAUCCUCAUGACUUAUUCAUUCCGUAAUCGGAAGCCUGUACCCUCCCACACUCCUUCACCCUUUUGCCCAUCCCAGCCCCCAGCCCCCUCCCCUCUGGCAAACAUCAGUUUAUUCUCUGUACUUAUGGGUCUGU